rnacentral:misc_RNA from 1 species
CGAAAUAGAGAGUAUAAAGCUUGAUUUGAUAACCAUGGAGCAGAAUUAUUUCAAAGCUAAGAAAUCCCAGGAUGAAACUGCUCAAGAUAAUGCUAUGAUGAACGAGCUUAUUCAUGACCUCCAACUUCAAAUUUAUGAUGCAGAAAAAGUUAUCGAAAGUUUGGAAAAGGAAAAUGUAAAUCUUAGGGAACAACUCCAGACGUCUGAAAUGAAUGCCAGAACAUUUUCUGAAAAAGUAGAGGAGCUAUUUCGUGGUUUGAUACCGAACAAUGAUGACAGCUCCUCAAGUAAAGAAGAUGCCAGUGCUUCUAGCUGCUGUGGUGACAUUUUGGGUCCACUCCUUAUCAAACUGGCUUCUCUAGGGCCAUCAGAUGUCGACUUGACUGACAAGAGGAAGAUAAUGGCAGGUCAAAUACAGAAUAAUGAAUCACUUGUAAAGCAGCUUAAGGAAGAGCUGAUAAUGGAAAAGCUAAAAGCCAAAGAAG